GUAUACAUUAAAAUAAGGGAAUCAUGAAAUUUAAGUGUGCAUGCAUAUUUUUAUUAUCUAUAGCGUUACGAAUUGCGAGAAUUCAUCUUAGUUUGUGUUUUUAUUUUUUGAUUGUUGUUCUCUUUAGUUAAUUUGAAUCUUGUAUUUAAUAUUUUCUUGUGCCAUGACAAUGAAAAAUAAUCAUGUUGCAUCUUAAAUACCUCGUCCAUUUGAUUUGAAAUAAUAAGUUUCAUUAUGUUUUUGAAUAAUGAUGUUAUAUAUUUACUUUUUGUUAUAAUGGAAUCUAUCACUUUAACAUAACAUCAGUCUACAAAUAUGAAUGUUAUUUCAAUGUUGCAAAAAAUAAUUAAUUUUGAUUAAUUUCAAUGUUCACUUGCUGGUUUGUUAUUAAUUGUCCUUAUUGCUUAGACACAUAAUUUACUUCAUUCCGCGGGAAAAAAAAUAUCACAAAGGCUGGCUUUAUUGUCAUGUGAAUACAUGUGUAGUGUGUUGUAUAGUUAUUAAAAUCAACUCUUUCUGAGGUGCACCUAAAUAUGUUUAGAAAUACAAUCUUUGGAUACUUUCUUGAUAUGCCACUAUUUUCUGUUCAAAAUCAACUUAUUUGUUACUUGAUGAAAAGAGAGAUAAUUCCGAAUUGUAGUGACAAAUUCUAUGUUAAUAUUCAUGGAUGUUUUUAGUUAAAAAGUUUCAUAGAUUUGCAGAUCUGAGUGUUGCUCAAACGUUGAUUCAAAAAUAGCUUGCUAAUGAAAAUACACGUUUGUUGAAUUUCUAGGCGACACGUUGUUUAGAAAAUCGCCUAACAAGGUGUUCAGAAAUUUUCUUGGUGGUGAUAUGGGUGAUAAGGGUACCUCUUGUGGUUCUGAGCAAAACAUCAAAGAUCGAUUGCAGAAAAAUUCCAAAUCUAAGAAGAUAUAUGCCUAUAAUCAUUGUUGCACUAUGAUGAAUAAACCGUGAUGACAAAGAAUUAAGAAGAAAAGUUGAAAAGGAUUUCGAAUACAUCAUGCAUUGGAUACGUACUCAUGGAUGUAUCCGAGGAGGAACAGAUGCAUUCUUGAGGGGAUGAAUAUACUUGAGAGGGGAUACAGAUGUAUAUGAGAGGAGAUCUUUGUGAUUAUUUUAAAGGCUUAAGUCAUCGACCGCCCCUCAAAGUUGUCCGCAUAAUUCACUUAGACACCUCAACUAAGACUUGUACCUAUUGAACACCUAAAUUGUUCAAAACAUGUACCUAUUAGACACAAAAUGCUGAUAUGGCAAAAAAUGUGUAUUGCACUUCCCUGAAACGCGUGAAAAGACUUAAAAUAGUGUCUUUUUUUAAUCUUAUUUUUACAUUUUUUCUUCUUUUAUUGACACUUGACAUUAUAAUUAACUUAACAAAUAUUUCUUUUA